rnacentral:tRNA from 1 species
GCCUGGGUGGCUCAGUCGGUUAAGCAUCCGACUUCAGCUCAGGUCAUGAUCUUGCAGUUCGUGGGUUCGAGCCCCACGUUGGGCU